AAGGAUUUAAGUUAAAUUAAACUUGAAGCCUUCAAAGCUUCCAAUAAGAACCUUUUCUUAAGCCUUA
rnacentral:tRNA from 1 species